rnacentral:rRNA from 1 species
UACGAAGGGGGCAAGCGUUGUUCGGAUUUACUGGGCGUAAAGCGUACGUAGGCGGAUGAUUAAGUCAGGGGUGAAAUCCCGGGGCUCAACCCCGGAACUGCCUUUGAUACUGGUCGUCUUGAGUCCGGGAGAGGUGAGUGGAACUCCUAGUGUAGAGGUGAAAUUCGUAGAUAUUAGGAAGAACACCAGUGGCGAAGGCGGCUCACUGGCCCGGAACUGACGCUGAGGUACGAAAGCGUGGGGAGCAAACAGG